UUGAUCAUGGCUCAGAAUCAACGCUGGCGGCGUGCCUCAGACAUGCAAGUCGAACGAUUAAAGCUCCCUUCGGGGAGUGCAUAGAGUGGCGCACGGGUGAGUAACACGUAAGUAAUUUGCCCUCGGGUGGGGAAUAACUUAGGGAAACCUAAGCUAAUACCGCAUAAUGCAGCGGCUCCGUAUGGAGACAGUUGUUAAAGCAUUUAUGCGCCUGAGGAGAAACUUGCGGCAGAUUAGCUAGUUGGUAAGGUGACGGCUUACCAAGGCGACGAUCUGUAGCCGACCUGAGAGGGUGGUCGGUCACACUGACACUGAAUAACGGGUCAGACUCCUACGGGAGGCAGCAGUCGGGAAUUUUGGGCAAUGGGGGAAACCCUGACCCAGCAACGCCGCGUGAAGGAUGAAGUCUUUCGGGAUGUAAACUUCGGAAGUAUAGGAAGAAUCAAUGACGGUACUAUAUCUAAGGUCCGGCUAACUACGUGCCAGCAGCCGCGGUAAUACGUAGGGACCAAGCGUUGUUCGGAUUUACUGGGCGUAAAGGGCGUGUAGGCGGCGCAACAAGUCACUUGUGAAAUCUCCGGGCUUAACUCGGAAAGGUCAAGUGAUACUGUUG
rnacentral:rRNA from 1 species